CCUACGGGUGGCUGCAGUGGGGAAUUUUGGACAAUGGGGGCAACCCUGAUCCAGCCAUGCCGCGUGAGUGAAGAAGGCCUUCGGGUUGUAAAGCUCUUUCAGACGGAAAGAAACGGUCACGGCGAAUACCCGUGACUAAUGACGGUACCGUAAGAAGAAGCACCGGCUAACUACGUGCCAGCAGCCGCGGUAAUACGUAGGGUGCGAGCGUUAAUCGGAAUUACUGGGCGUAAAGCGGUAGCAGGCAGGUGAAAUCCCCGGGCUUAACCUGGGAACUGCAUUUGUGACUGCGAGACUAGAGUGUAGCAGAGGGGGGUAGAAUUCCACGUGUAGCAGUGAAAUGCGUAGAGAUGUGGAGGAAUACCGAUGGCGAAGGCAGCCCCCUGGGCUAACACUGACGCUCAUGCACGAAAGCGUGGGGAGCAAACAGGAUUAGAUACCCUAGUAGUC
rnacentral:rRNA from 1 species